UGCCAGCAGCCGCGGUAAUACGGAGGGUGCGAGCGUUAAUCGGAAUUACUGGGCGUAAAGCGCAUGCAGGUGGUUUGUUAAGUCAGAUGUGAAAGCCCGGGGCUCAACCUCGGAAUUGCAUUUGAAACUGGCAGACUAGAGUACUGUAGAGGGGGGUAGAAUUUCAGGUGUAGCGGUGAAAUGCGUAGAGAUCUGAAGGAAUACCGGUGGCGAAGGCGGCCCCCUGGACAGAUACUGACACUCAGAUGCGAAAGCGUGGGGAGCAAACAGGAUUAGAAACCCCCGUAGUCC
rnacentral:rRNA from 1 species